rnacentral:rRNA from 1 species
UCUGGCGGCAGUAGCGCGGUGGUCCCACCUGACCCCAUGCCGAACUCAGAAGUGAAACGCCGUAGCGCCGAUGGUAGUGUGGGGUCUCCCCAUGCGA